GAAGACUGGCAGGUGGACACCCAACAUCCUGAGGACUCUCAUUUUCACGUUGUCCUUGCUGAACAUGCCUUCAGCUCAGGCAGACAAUAUUGGCAGAAGCUGAUGGGUGCUUCCAGAAUUGCUGGUGGGAUGGUCACCCAGUUCAGAAUGCGAGGUGAAGAUGAGCGCGUGAGCUGGCCGCAAUCAAUCUGGCUUCCUCCCUGGAAAGCAAAUAACUGAGGGAACUUGGCUUGGGGCAGCGAGAAGCCACGUACUUAAAGGUUUGAGAUUUUCCCAUUCAUUGCUGGAAGCUGUAUGCUGGACGCUGGAUUCUUUGAGAUGACAGUCUCCUCCAGCCCUGGGAUCAACAUGGAUUCUUGGUCCCACUAUAUCUUUAUCUCUGUCUGACUGGAUAAUUUGAGACGAGAGUGCUGUCCAGUCAAUUUUACUCUCCCAUUAAUAAAAUAUUAAAAACUC